rnacentral:misc_RNA from 1 species
GAUGAAGAACGCAGCGAAAUGCGAUAAGUAGUGUGAAUUGCAGAAUUCAGUGAAUCAUCGAAUCUUUGAACGCACAUUGCGCCCCUUGGUAUUCCAUAGGGCAUGCCUGUUCGAGCGUCAUUUACACCCUCAAGCUCUGCUUGGUGUUGGGCGUCUGUCCCGCUGCUUUGCGCGGACUCGCCUCAAAGGUAUUGGCAGCGAUCAUGCCAGCUUCUCGCGCAGCACAUUGCGCUUCUCGAGGCACCGGCGGGCCCGCGUCCAUCAAGCUCACCCCCCCAGUUUGACCUCGGAUCAGGUAGGGAUACCCGCUGAACUUAAGCAUAUCAAUAAGCGGAGGA